UAUAAAUGCAUAUCUAUAUCAACGUUUUACAAAUUCAUCAGAGAGAAAAAACAUGUCUUGCAGGUAUAAAUUAUUCUUUAAAGUAACAGAUCUUGCAGAGUCUGAUUUUAUUACUUUAUUACUUUGGGAUCAACAGGCGGUGAAACUCAUAGGAAAAACUGCCACUGAAUUAGCGAAAGGAUUACUUGAGAACGUAGGUGUAUCUUCAUAUCCAUUGGAGUUGGAUAACAUUUUGGAUAGAGAGAUCAUGUUCAAAGUGGCCAUCAAGAAAGAUAAUAUAGAGCAACAUGAUGAAGUUUACACUGUUCUUAAAUUUAGUGAUGAUUGGAUCUGAUCAAGCAAUAUUGUCCCUAUCCGAGUGAAGAAACAUGCACUUAUUCAGAGUUCAAUCAUGAGCAACUCGCACCUAGAGACAAUUAUUUAACGGAUUCUGUAGCUGAGAAUGAAGUGAACUCUGCUUCAAAUACCCCUGCAAAGAGAAGUAGAUAUGAGAGUGAAUCGUCUGUGGUAGACGUUGAUGAAGAUCCCACUGCACAACUCUCCAGUAGUAAGAGAAAAAAAGUCAUUAAAAAAAAGAAAAUAACAUG